rnacentral:rRNA from 1 species
CCUACGGGGGACAGCAGUGAGGAAUAUUGGUCAAUGGGCGGAAGCCUGAACCAGCCAAGUAGCGUGCAGGAUGACGGCCCUACGGGUUGUAAACUGCUUUUAUACGGGAAUAACGCGCCUUACGUGUAGGGUUUUGCAUGUACCGUAUGAAUAAGGACCGGCUAAUUCCGUGCCAGCAGCCGCGGUAAUACGGAAGGUCCGGGCGUUAUCCGGUUUUAUUGGGUUUAAAGGGUGCGUAGGCCGCAUGUCAAGCUUGCUGUGAAAUGUCCGGGCUCAACCCGGGCCUUGCAGCGAGAACUGGCGGGCUUGAGUCCGCGGAAGGCAGGCGGAAUUCGUCGUGUAGCGGUGAAAUGCUUAGAUAUGACGAAGAACCCCGAUUGCGAAGGCAGCUUGCUGCGGCGGAACUGACGCUGAUGCUCGAAAGCGCGGGUAUCGAACAGGAUUAGAUACCCGGGUAGUC